rnacentral:rRNA from 1 species
CAUGCAGUCGAACGAUUAAACUUUCCUUCGGGAAAGAUAUAAAGUGGCGCACGGGUGAGUAACACGUAAGUAAUCUACCUUCGGAUGGGGAAUAACAGUCGGAAACGACUGCUAAUACCGCAUAAUGCAGCGGCACCUAAUGGUGACAGUUGUUAAAGUAUUUAUACGUCUGGAGAGGAGCUUGCGGCAGAUUAGCUAGUUGGUAAGGUAAUGGCUUACCAAGGCUACGAUCUGUAGCCGACCUGAGAGGGUGGUCGGUCACACUGACACUGAAUAACGGGUCAGACUCCUACGGGAGGCAGCAGUCGGGAAUUUUGGGCAAUGGGCGAAAGCCUGACCCAGCAACGCCGCGUGAAGGAUGAAGUCUUUCGGGAUGUAAACUUCGUAAAAAUAGGAAGAAUAAAUGACGGUACUAUUUGUAAGGUCCGGCUAACUACGUGCCAGCAGCCGCGGUAAUACGUAGGGACCAAGCGUUGUUCGGAUUUACUGGGCGUAAAGGGCGCGUAGCGGCGUAUCAAGUCAAUUGUGAAAUCUCCGGGCUUAACUCGGAACGGUCAAUUGAUACUGAUAUGCUAGAGUAC